rnacentral:rRNA from 1 species
GAUGAACGCUAGCUACAGGCUUAACACAUGCAAGUCGAGGGGUAACGAGAGGAAAGCUUGCUUUCCUUGUCGACGACCGGCGCACGGGUGAGUAACGCGUAUCCAACCUGCCCCCAACUAAGGAAUAACCUUGCGAAAGUGAGACUAAUACCUUAUAAUUUCCUCAGAUGUCAUCUGACGAGGAAUAAAGAUUUAUCGGUUGUGGAUGGGGAUGCGUCUGAUUAGCUUGUUGGCGGGGUAAAGGCCCAACAAGGCAACGAUGAGUAGGGGUUCUGAGAGGAAGGUCCCCCACAUUGGAACUGAGACACGGUCCAAACUCCUACGGGAGGCAGCAGUGAGGAAUAUUGGUCAAUGGGCGAAAGCCUGAACCAGCCAAGUAGCGUGCAGGAUGACGGCCCUAUGGGUUGUAAACUGCUUUUAUACAGGAAUAAAGUUAGCCACGUGUGGUUAUUUGUAGGUACUGUAUGAAUAAGGACCGGCUAAUUCCGUGCCAGCCGCCGCCGUAA